rnacentral:rRNA from 1 species
GGCGGUGUGCUUCACACAUGCAAGUCGAACGGGGUAGCAAUACCCAGUGGCGGACGGGUGAGUAACACGUGGGAAUCUGCCUUAGAGAGGGGGAUAGCAGGCCGAAAGGCCUAUUAAUACCCCAUACGCCGUAAGGUGAAAGGAGUAAUCCGCUCUAAGAUGAGCCCGCGUCCGAUUAGCUAGUUGGUAGGGUAAAGGCCUACCAAGGCACCGAUCGGUAGGUGGUCUGAGAGGAUGAUCACCCACAAUGGGACUGAGACACGGCCCAUACUCCUACGGGAGGCAGCAGUGGGGAAUUUUACACAAUGGGGGAAACCCUGAUGUAGCGACACCGCGUGAGCGAAGAAGCCCUUUGGGGUGUAAAGCUCUGUCAGCAGGGACGAAAAAAAUGACGGUACCUGCAGAGGAAGCAUCGGCUAACUACGUGCCAGCAGCCGCGGUAAGACGUANGAUGCGAGCGUUGUCCGGAUUUAUUGGGCGUAAAGA